rnacentral:rRNA from 1 species
UUGGAGGGCAAGUCUGGUGCCAGCAGCCGCGGUAAUUCCAGCUCCAAUAGCGUAUAUUAAAGUUGUUGCAGUUAAAAAGCUCGUAGUUGAAUUUCGGGAUGAUCAGGUUGGUCGUGCCAUUGGUAUGUACUAGCUUUGGUGGUUCCUACCUCUUGAAGAACCGUAAUGUCAUUAACUUGGUGUUGCGGGGAAUCAGGACUGUUACUUUGAAAAAAUUAGAGUGUUUAAAGCAGGCAAACGCUUGAAUACAUUAGCAUGGAAUAAUGAAAUAGGACGUUUGAUCUUAUUUUGUUGGUUUCUAGGAUCGACGUAAUGAUUAAUAGGGAUAGUUGGGGGCAUUAGUAUUCAAUUGUCAGAGGUGAAAUUCUUGGAUUUAUUGAAGACUAACUACUGCGAAAGCAUUUGCCAAGGAUGUUUUCAUUAAUCAAGAACGAAAGUUAGGGGAUCGAAGACGAUCAGAUACCGUCGUAGUCUUAACCAUAAACUAUGCCGACUAGGGAUCGGAUGAUGUUAAUUUUUUAAUGACUCAUUCGGCGCCUUACGGGAAAC